rnacentral:rRNA from 1 species
GGUCAAGUAACUAAGCGCAUACGGUGGAUGCCUAGGCAGUAAGAGGCGAUGAAGGACGUGGUAGUCUGCGAUAAGCUUCGGGGAGCCGACAAACUGGCGUUGAUCCGGAGAUUUCCGAAUGGGGAAACCCACCUGUCGUGAGGCAGGUAUCUGUAACUGAAUACAUAGGUUGCAGAGGCGAACCCGGGGAACUGAAACAUCUAAGUACCCGGAGGAAAAGAAAUCAACCGAGAUUCCCUCAGUAGCGGCGAGCGAACGGGGACCAGCCCUUAAGCUCUUUAAGUGUUAGUGGAAGCCUCUGGAAAGUGGCGCGAUACAGGGUGAUAGCCCCGUACACGAAAAUGCUUUUAGAGUGAAAUCGAGUAGGUCGGGACACGUGUUAUCCUGACUGAACAUGGGGGGACCAUCCUCCAAGGCUAAAUACUACUUACUGACCGAUAGUGAACCAGUACCGUGAGGGAAAGGCGAAAAGAACCCCGUUGAGGGGAGUGAAAUAGAACCUGAAACCGUAUGCGUACAAGCAGUAGGAGCACCCUUGCGGUGUGACUGCGUACCUUUUGUAUAAUGGGUCAGCGACUUAAUCUCAGUGGCAAGCUUAAGCGAAUAGCGGAGGCGUAGGGAAACCGAGUCUUAAAUGGGCGACAUAGUCUCUGGGAUUAGACCCGAAACCGGGUGAUCUAUCCAUGGCCAGGUUGAAGGUGCCGUAACAGGCACUGGAGGACCGAACCCACUUAUGUUGAAAAAUGAGGGGAUGAGCUGUGGAUCGGAGUGAAAGGCUAAUCAAACCCGGAGAUAGCUGGUUCUCCUCGAAAUCUAUUUAGGUAGAGCCUCAUGUCUCACUUCUGGGGGUAGAGCACUGUUAUGGCUAGGGGGUCAUCCCGACUUACCAACCCAUUGCAAACUCCGAAUACCAGAAAGUGCAAUCAUGGGAGACACACGGCGGGUGCUAACGUCCGUCGUGAAGAGGGAAACAACCCAGACCGCCAGCUAAGGUCCCAAAAUUGUAGCUCAGUGGGAAACGAUGUGGGAAGGCACAGACAGCCAGGAGGUUGGCUUAGAAGCAGCCAUCCUUUAAAGAAAGCGUAAUAGCUCACUGGUCUAGUCGGCCUGCGCGGAAGAUUUAACGGGGCUUAAGCUACAUACCGAAGCUGCGGAUGCGUCUUAGACGCAUGGUAGAGGAGCGUUCUGUAAGCCGUUGAAGGUGAACUGUAAGGUUUGCUGGAGGUAUCAGAAGUGCGAAUGCUGACAUAAGUAACGAUAAUGCGGGUGAGAGACCCGCACGCCGAAAACCCAAGGUUUCCUGCGCAAUGUUAAUCAGCGCAGGGUUAGUCGGAUCCUAAGGCGAGGCCGAAAGGCGUAGUCGAUGGAAAGCAGGUUAAUAUUCCUGCACCACUUUACACUGCGAUGGGGGGACGGAGAAGGCUAGGCCAGCCGGCAGUUGGUGUCCGGUUUAAGCAAGUAGGACGAGUUCUUAGGCAAAUCCGGGAACUCAUUGUCUGAGAUGUGAUGACGAGCUCUUAUUUGAGCGAAGUGGUUGAUGCCAUGCUUCCAAGAAAAGCCUCUAAGCUUCAGGUGUAACGUGUCCGUACCCCAAACCGACACAGGUGGGUAGGUUGAGAAUACCAAGGCGCUUGAGAGAACUCGGGUGAAGGAACUAGGCAAAAUGGUACCGUAACUUCGGGAGAAGGUACGCCCCUGAGAGUGAGAGGACUUGCU